GACGAACGCUGGCGGCGUGCUUAACACAUGCAAGUCGAACGGAAAGGCCCUGCUUUUGUGGGGUGCUCGAGUGGCGAACGGGUGAGUAACACGUGAGUAACCUGCCCUUGACUUUGGGAUAACUUCAGGAAACUGGGGCUAAUACCGGAUAGGAGCUCCUGCUGCAUGGUGGGGGUUGGAAAGUUUCGGCGGUUGUGGAUGGACUCGCGGCUUAUCAGCUGGUUGGUGGGGUAGUGGCUUACCAAGGCUUUGGCGGGUAGCCGGCCUGAGAGGGUGACCGGCCACAUUGGGACUGAGAUACGGCCCAGACUCCUACGGGAGGCAGCAGUGGGGAAUAUUGCACAAUGGGCGGAAGCCUGAUGCAGCAACGCCGCGUGCGGGAUGACGGCCUUCGGGUUGUAAACCGCUUUCGCCUGUGACGAAGCGUGAGUGACGGUAAUGGGUAAAGAAGCACCGGCUAACUACGUG
rnacentral:rRNA from 1 species